UUUUUGUUUUGAAGGAUUAUUUUAAUGUUUAUGGUUGUUUAAAUGAUGAUUUCAAGGGUAUUUUGAUGUUAUUUUAUGUUUACAUUGACCUCGAUAGACCAUAUGAUGGUAUAAUGAAUGUAAUUACAAUAUAUUUAACAUAGAUAAUGGAUAUUUCUGAUCUUGAAAAUACAUAUAUAAAAUUGAUUUGAACUACAAUAUAUGUACCGACAUCUAGUUCUCCGUGGAGUGUCUAUGCCACUCAUAUAUAUUGGGUUCUUAAUCACAGUUGAAGCCCGGGAUCUGACUCCAACCUAGAUACUUUGCCCAUCCCUCCAUGCCAUAAUCCAAACCUUCUAGAUAGCCACCCUAAUACUAAUCCCCUAUCUGAUAUUGGGCUAGCCAUCCUAUCUCAGGGAAGAUCACAGCAGCGAAAUUUGAGCCAUAAUCUAACUAAGACUAUGGAGGGCAGUAGUUGCUCGAAAUAUGAUGUUAGAUAAGUAAUAUCCAUAUUGAUCAUACCCUAGUUGUGCAGAAUAAGAUCCAAUAUACCAUGCAGAUCCAAACAUACCUAGGGAAUCUACUCCGCAUGCUAGAUCAUCUAAUAGUAACAUCGUGUCUUGAACCACCUCGAGGGACCCAUCUUUUAUAUGCUACCAUAACCUCAUGGGCUCUACAUCGUACAUCAUAGUCUUUAUUCAAUGUGGCAUAAGUGAACUGCGAUUCAUUGAUGAGUUGACUAAAAUCAUAAGGACAUUUCCUACAAGCAGCCACAUCGGAAAAACCACCAUCUACAUAAUGCUUCAAUCUCAUCAUCCCUCCCCCUCCACUUUGCAUUGGUUUAUUUGCACCACCAGUGGUACCAACUCAUGAAUGUCAAUCUCCUUUUCUAUCUUCCUUUUUGGAUCCCUUUCUGCAAGUUUGACGAACACACAUCAUAAACCAUCUCAUUGACUACCAUAAAUUAUGUAAAGUGAAUAUAAACUUUUUUAAAGAGUAAAUAAAUUUUAUAUUUUUAGAAAAAUUAAGAAUUUUGUAAUUUAAUUUCACUUCAAGUAUGUAAUAAUUUAUAAUAUUAUGUAAAGCUAAGCUCAUUUUCCUAGAAAAUAUACCCCAGUCACCAAUAUAUUACCAUAAUUUUCAUGAUUGUUAGAUGAAUUAAUAAUUUUUAAUUAAU
rnacentral:lncRNA from 1 species